GACGAACGCUGGCGGCGUGCCUAAUACAUGCAAGUAGAACGCUGAAGGAGGAGCUUGCUUCUCUGGAUGAGUUGCGAACGGGUGAGUAACGCGUAGGUAACCUGCCUUGUAGCGGGGGAUAACUAUUGGAAACGAUAGCUAAUACCGCAUAAUAGUAGAUGUCGCAUGACAUUUGCUUAAAAGGUGCAAUUGCAUCACUACCAGAUGGACCUGCGUUGUAUUGGCUAGUUGGUGAGGUAACGGCUCACCAAGGCAACGAUACAUAGCCGACCUGCGAGGGUGAUCGGCCACACUGGGACUGAGACACGGCCCAGACGCCUACGGGAGGCAGCAGUAGGGAAACUUCGGCAAUGGACGGAAGUCUUACCGAGAAACGCCGCGGGAGUGAAGAAGGUUUUCGGAUCGUAAAGCUCGGUUGUAAGAGAAGAACGAGUGUGAGAGUGGAAAGUUCACACUGUGACGGUAUCUGACCAGAAAGGGACGGCUAACUACGUG
rnacentral:rRNA from 1 species